rnacentral:rRNA from 1 species
GCCGUGGACAAUGUGUUCCCUGGAGUAGAGCAUAGGGAAUGCAUGCGUCACCUUGCUGCAAAUUUCAUGAAGAAAUUCAAAGGAAAGGUGUAUACCGACAAUUUAUGGCCAGCAUCUUUGACAUGCAGUGUGAAGAAGCACAACUACCACUUGAGGCAGUUAUACAUGAAUCCCAAAGUGAAAGAAUACUUGGAAACACACCACUCCAAGUUAUGGGCCAGAAGCCAAUUCAGUGAAGUGACCAAAGUUGACUAUGUGCACAAUAAUCUAGCAGAGUCUUUCAAUUCAACGAUCCGAAAA